UUUUUUGUUUAUUUCAGCCAUGACUCCUAAUCAUACCAAAGAAUAUUCACCAGAAAAGGGCCUAAAACAUAUAUUUCAUGAAGUGAUAAGUGCAAAAUAUAGAAGUUGUGAUCUUGACUAUUUCCAACAAAAGAAAAUAUGGAAAACUACUAGUGAGAGUGAAGACCAGAAAUCAUAUAAAAACUCAGGCAUUGUCCAUAACCAGAUAAUUUAUACUGGAGAGAAGCCCUACAAAUAUAAAGAAUGUUGCAAAGCUUUUAGUAAAAAAAAAACUCUUAUUUACCACAGAGGAACUCACAAUGCAGAGAAGCCCUACAAAUGUACAGAAUGUGGCAAAGCUUUUGGUAAAACAUCACACCUUAUUUGCCACAGCAGAACUCACACUGGAGAGAAGCCCUACAAAUGUAAAGUUUGUGGCAAAGCUUUUGGUCGGAAAUCAGGCCUUAUUUACCACAGCAGAACUCACACUGGAGAGAAGCCCUACAAAUGUAAAGAUUGUGGCAAAGCUUUUGGUCGAAAAUCAAACCUUAUUUACCACAGCAGAACUCAUACUGGAGAGAAGCCCUACAAAUGUAAAGAUUGUGGCAAAGUUUUUGGUCAAAAAUCAGUCCUGAUUUACCAUAGCAGAACUCACACUGGAGAGAAGCCCUACAAAUGUAAAGAAUGUGGCAAAUCUUUUGGUAAAAAAUCACCCCUUAUUUGCCACAGCAGAACUCACACUGGAGAGAAGCCUUACAAAUGUAAAGAGUGUGGCAAAGCUUUUGGUCAAAAAUCACACCUUAUUUGCCACAGCAGAACUCACACUGGAGAGAAGCCCUACAAAUGUAAAGAGUGUGGCAAAGCUUUUGGUCAAAAAUCACAACUUAUUCGCCACAGCAGAAAUCACACUGGAGAGAAGCCCUACAAAUGUAAAGAAUGUGACAAAACUUUUGGUCAAAAAUCACAACUUAUUCGCCACAUCAGAAAUCACACUGGAGAGAAGCCCUACAAAUGUACAGAAUGUGACAAAACUUUUGGUCAAAAAUCAGACCUUAUUCGCCACAUCAGAAAUCACACUGGAGAGAAGCCCUACAAAUGUACAGAAUGUGGCAAAGCAUUCAGUCAAAAAUCAUACCUUACUUGCCACAUCAGAACUCUCACUGGAGAGAAGCCCUACAAAUGUAAAGGUUGUGGCAAAGCUUUUGGUCAAAAAUUAGACCUUAUUCACCACAGUAGAACUCACACUGGAGAGAAGCCCUACAAAUGUAAAGAAUGUGGCAAAGCUUUUACUCAAAAAUAGGCUUUAUUUGCCACCUCAGAACUCACACUAUAGAGAAGCCUUACAAAUAUAAAGAAUGUGGAAAAGUGUUCAGUCAAAAAUCACACCUUAUUUGCCACAACAGAACUCACAGAGGAGAGAAGCCUCACAAAUGCAAGUAUGUGACAAAGUUUUUACUCAAAUUUUACCCCUUAUUUGUCACAGAUGAAUUUACACUGAAGGGAAGCCUUACAAUUAUAAGGAUUGUUGCAAAGCUUUUAGCAAUAAAACAGGCCUUAUUCACCACAACAGAACUCAUGCUGGAGAAUAGCCCUACAAAUGUGAAUAAUGUGGAAAAGCUUUUAAUAAAAAAUAAAACUUUAGUCACCACAGCAGAAGUCAUGCUGUUGAAUGUGAAAUAUGAAUAAAGUGAUAAUACUUUUAAAGAAAGACUAAACCUUGGGGCUGGGGUUGUGGUUCAGUGGUAGAGUGCUAGCCUUGCAUGUGUGAGAUCCGGGGUUUUAUCCUCAGAACCACAUAAAAAUACAUAAGUGAAAUAAAGGUAUUGUGUCCAACUACAACUAAAAAAUAAACAUUAAAAAAGAAAGACUAAACCUUAUUAACAACAGAAUUUAUACAGAAAAGAACCCCUACAAAUUGAAACAAUUCAGCAAAGCUUUUAAUAAGAAAUCAAUUCUUUUCACAACUAGGCUACUUAUUCUGGAAAGAAGACAUCUAAAUUUAGAGAAUGUAAAAAAAUUUAAAUUAUAUAUCAUACAUUACUAGACAUCAGAGAAAACACACUGGAGAAAAGCUCUACAACUGAGACCAUUGUACCAUUACUCUAAGAAAGGGACAACAUUUAAUCCUCACCACAAUAACCAUAGUGUAGAGAAAGUUUUGAAAUGUGAAAAUUGAUAAUGUGACAAUGCCUCCAAAAUUUAUUCACCAAUACUCAGCACUUGUGGAUACAUACUGGUUAGAGAAAAUACAAAUGGAAAAAAAUGUAGCUGCAUGUUCUUAAACACUGCUUAUUUUUGGAGAAUUCAUCGUGCCCAGAAACUCUAAAAAGUUAAAUAAUAUUUCCAAAAUGUAUUUAAAUUUUAAAUUCAUUGAACAUCUGAAAACUCAUACUAGCAGUGAACAUUGAACAGAUUUUGUCCAAAAUGUAUGCCUUAUAUAACAAUGAAACAUUUAUAAUAAAUGUGAGAGUAUAGUAAAGUUAUUAUCUAUAUAUUACACCUUGAUGUAUAUGAGGAUCAGUAAAAUACAGAACUCAUUUAAGUUUAGAAAACAAGUAGUUAUCUUUAAUUUUUGCUUAAAUUUAUUAAGCAUUAUCAAGUUAUUUUGUAGAAAUAUCAGUCAUAAAUAUCAAAUGCAUAGUGAAGAAACCUCAUCUUUGAAAGAAUAUAAUUGUUUUUAUAAAUUAAAAAUUACUAUUUUCACUUUUGAAUAGUGAUAAAAGAAUUAUAUGAAAUCUAUUUUUGAUGUUUAACACUGAAGUGUAAUAUUUUAAACUAUAAUUUGUUUUGUAUUUCAGUUUAAGUUUAGGUAUUUUUAUACACUGAGCCACAUUCCUAAGCCCUCUCUCCACUUUUUCAAAUUUUGAGACUGUAUUGCUAAGUUGCUUGAAACCACACUAAGUUGCUGAGGCUGAAUUUAAACUUAUGAAAUUACACAGCUUCGCAGUUUGCUUGGAUUACAAGCACAGACCAUCAUGUCAGGAUUGCAGUGCAUUUUUUAACCUAUAUUUACCUUAUGUAUGCAAUAUGUCUUUAUAACUGAAUAUUUGUUUAUAUGUUAACACUCAUGUAUUGCAUCCUGUUGUUAAAUGACAGACAUCAUAUUGUUCCACUUGACUAAAUGUUCUAUGUCACUGUAAAACAUACUGGUGAGUGAAUAAUACUCUAGCAUCUAUUAAUACUUUUACACAUUUUAAUCAAACUUAAUGUGGAAUACAAUUUGCAUAAGUCAGAUCAUUUUUUUUCUGUUUGUAUUUAUGGUGAAAUUAAGAGUUAUAAGAAGGAUAUAGAUAUAGGAAAAUAAGCCCCAGGUUUUCAUAUCUUGAUUUAUAAAUUUUAAAAUUUUAACUUUUUAAUAUUUUAAGAUUUCCUAGUGAUUUUAAUAUACUGAAUUUCCACAAACUUAAGGGUAGCUCUUACAGGAGAGGAGAUCUUUAUCUUUCUUGUGUGCAUAAUGGCCUUCUAGACUUCAUCCUCAUUGGAGACAUUUCAUUUUUCUGUGAAUGAGGUCAAUGAUCAGUGUUUUCAUGUACAUUAGUAAAUUCUGAUAUCUUUGUUAUUCUAUAGGUAGUGUUAUUUCAGGGCAGGAAUUGGAGAAAUGGAUGUGGAGUCAAAGGUGACUGAGGCCUUAUACUUAUGACAAAAUAAUCAAUGAGCUAUGAUUUAUAGUCUCAUUUUCUGAGGACCAAGUAAUAAGAGGUAAACUGAGAAGGUUGUAUGUAAAGAUUAAGUUUCUUAUCAUAAAAUGUUGGCUUUUCAGGUACGAAAGGGUAAAAGCUUAUUAUACACAGAAUCCAUACAAAAAUCAUAUUGAACAUCAUUCACAAUUUUAUUAACCAUGAUUACAUAUAAUUCAUGAAGACCUGAGUUUACAGCAACAUAUGCCUAAGAACAAGGUCUAGGGACAUUUUACACUCUCCAAUAUAGACAUAUUUAUACAAAUUUAAUUAUACAUGAAACUACACUAAAUGAGAAGAAAAAUCAAUUGGAUCAACACACAACAAUAUAUAAAUAAAAGCUUGUAAAGACUUAAGCAACUGACCAAUAGUGGAUGAAGUGUGGUUUCCAAAUGCUAGGGGAAAAAUGGACAUAUAAUCAGUUAAAGGUAAUUGAAGAAAGAUAACUUACCCACUUUGAACUACAACAGCAUUUGAAAGAAGAAGAGUCACAAAGUAAGCAAAGAUUAUUCACCUCCAUUUGUAUGCUUUGUAAUAUUUUCCAAAAAUUUUCUGCAGAUUUUAUUGCACUCAAAUUGAGAAACAAUCCAGAAAGUUAAAAAAGACAAGUAUUGACCCUCUGGUUUUAAAAGCAAGAAAAGGAAUAGAGAGAGAUUUAUUGAGCUAGAAAAAUUUACUAGUUAGAGUGAAAAAAUAAAGAACUGAGAUUACCAGAAUCUAAGUAUAAUGUAUUUCAGCCAUCCCUGGCUGCACAGGGCAUUUUUGUUUAGCAAAGAAUUUGUUCAUGUAUGUACGCUUAAACAACAUUGCUGUUUUUAGUCAGUCUUUUUCAUUAAUAACAAUGAUGUACCUUUCAACAGUUUCCAGCCACAAAAAUACACAAUUUCAGAAAUCUUCUGUUUCAUCAUCCAUAUAUUCUGCCACAAUAUUCAACAGGGCAAGAUAAUAUAAACCUUUUGGCAGUCCCAUCAAGGCAUUCACUUCUAUUAAUACAAAAGUAUGAUACAUGGAACAACGUAAUUUUACUUAGUAAAAAUAUUUUUUUUCAUGAAAAAUAGAUUCUAACUCCUUUGUCUUGGGAUUCCAUUAGAAAAAUAUGAGGUAAUUAUACUGUAUAUUAUGACCUUAGGCUAUGAGCCUUAAAAUUACCUUAAAAUACAAAAGAAUAUUAAUGUUUAUUUUUAAAUAUAGUUUUUAUAUUUCAAAUAUUCAAAUUCCACAGCAAUCAAUGAUACAAAAACAUGAAGAAAAAAACUGCAGUUUGAUGUCUCAUCAUGACAUUUCAAUACCUGCUGUAGAUUGCCUGUGGCUUCCACUUUUAAUUUAAACAAAUAAUAAUUUUUCCAUACAAUUUGGGUGAAGUGGAGGACAAAAUCUCCUGCAUUGCUUUCCUGGGCAAGCCAUCAUACUUAAAACAACUGAAACCCAAAUCAAAAUACGUUUACUCUACAUUCUAAUUAUAUCAGUUCUUAACUCAUCUAGCAUAAAACAAAUCCACUUUCUUCUGGUUGAAUAUCUUGAGCUCAAAUAGAUGGAACCUGGGAGCUAAAAGAAGUAUGACAUAAAUAAUGAGGUCUCUUUUUUGCAUAAGGCAAAUUGCACUUUUUGUAUUUGAUUUUUCUGCCUGUGAAGAUCUACAUUUAUCUUCCUACAAUGGUAUUAUGAUUGAUGGUGACUUGUGUGAUUACAGGAGGCCUUAAAUGCAGCUACAUGUGUUUGAGUCCUUUCACUGGUAAAAUACUAUAAUUUCUACUCUAAUAGGAGACUCAGAAUGGUGCUAGAGAAACCUAUUUUUUAAAGAGAGAGUGAGAGACAGAGAGAGUGAGAGACAGAGAGAGUGAGAGAGAAUUAUUUGAUAUUUUAUUUUUUAGUUUUCAGUGGGCACAACAUCCUCAUUUGUGUGUGGUGCUGAGGAUUGAACCCGGCUGCACGCAUGCCAGGUGAGCACGCUACUGCUUGAGCCACAUCCCCAGCCCCAAACCUAUUUUUUAAUCUGCCUCUUUAUUCAUGGUUUUCUAGUGGUUUUGAUCUAGUCAGUUCAUACCAUUUCUGAUUAAUGGGUGUCAUCAAAAUAUAAAUUCCCUUUAUAAUCAUUAGCAAUGAGACAAUUCUUCCCAUUAAAAAUAAAAAACAUUCUCAUAUAGUCUUUGCUAUAUUCUAAGGAACCACUCUUGCUUUUGCUUUACUAAACAAAAUCAAUUCCACAUAUUUGAGUCCCAAAGUAAAUGGCAAGACAUUAAACUAAGCACCAUGAGGAAUAUAAGAAAUACAAGAUAUCACCUUUGAAAUAUAAAAAUAAGAAUCAGAAAUGCUAAGCCAUUACCAUGUAAGCUACACCAGAGCUUUUAAAAUGUAAUCUUAGAUGUUCUACUCACUCUCAUAGUAAGAUGCCUUAGACUCAAAGAUAUUUAAUCACUCACUAAAGGACACUCAGUGAAUGCAUAACAGUUCUUAUUCUAAAGCUUUUACAGAAUUUUUUGAUAAUACAUUGCAAAGUCUCACCUGUCUUCUUUCGAAAUAAGACACAGAGGUUGUUUUAGUCUGUUUUAUAAUGUUAUAGAAAAAUACCAGAAACAGGCCAAUGUAUAAAAAGAGAUAUAAAUGCAUAAAAAUUAUUUUCUGAGAGGCUAGGGUUGUGGCUCAGUGGUAAAGUGCUCACCUGUCACAUGCAAGAAGCUGGGUUCAAUUCUCAGCACCACAUAAAAAUGAAUAAAUAAAUAAAUAAAAUAAAGGUAUUGUGUCCAACUACAACUUGUAAAUAAAUAAAAAUAUUUUCGAGUACAUAGUUCUGAAGAUUUAAGUGCACUCUACCAGAAUCUUCUCAGCUCCUGUGACAGCUCCUUCACCCACAUUACACAUGAGGUAGCAUUAUGGUGAGGGCUCAUUUGAGAGGUAGAGAGAACAUAAUGAGACAGGAAGUCAGGAAAUUCAGAAAAAAAUACUUGCUCUUUUGAAACACCCAGCUUUAAUAAAAACUAUGUUGUGCCCCAUGAAAUUUAUAUUAACCCUCUCCAAGGACAUCUCCCCCAAUGAUCUAACCACAAUUUACUAGAUCUCACUUCUUAAACAUUCCACUAUUUUCCAACUCUCUCCCUUUGAAACUAAGUUCCAAACAAAUGAGCAUUUGGGGGACAUACUAAAUCAUAAUGAAAGUAAUAUGAGAGAGACAAUGGUAAAAAUGAGACAUAGAAUGUCAUUUCUUAGUAAUUAUAAAGAUUCUAGAUACUACAAUAAAAUGCUUUAGAGUAUAGAAAUUAUUUUAGGUUGAUAUUUUAUUUUAAAGACAAUAGGGAAUUACUUUUUGAAGAAUGAAUGAAUUUGAAUGCGACAAGACUAAUGGGCUAGGUAUAUUAAAAUAAGGGAAAAUUAUGUGCAAAAACUCAAUGAAUGUUUAGUAAACCGUGCCUAGGUAUAAAAAGAGAAUGUUGGGCUUUCUGAUUAUGCUAUAUCAAGCCAAAAGUUUACUGGCUAAAAUCUGGUGGCCCUCAAAACCAGAGCAAAUAUUCAUAUAAAAGAUGCAGUGGACAUCAGUCUCAAGAGCUUCCUACUUAAAAUAUCUGCUUCCAAAGACUACAUGAUUCAUAGUAAUUCUCAGUAGUAUUAUAUUUCUUUCAAUUUCAAUUUUUAGCUUUCUAUAUACUUACCACACCAUCUCAUGGACAGAUCAAUAUUUUCUUGAACUUUUUCAUAUAUUAAUCUAUACACUAUCUCAGAUAUGUUUGUUUCUAGAUUGUCAGGGAUCUCUCCUAGAGAAUUCUGAGAUGUGUGAGAGGUUUAACAAGCAUAGAAAAUUGCUUAUUAAAAGUAAGCCAUAUUGUAAGUGGGAGGUAAAAGGAGAAAAGAAGCAAAAGUCCUCAUCUAAACUUGUAUGUGCUGAUACUGCACAAGGUUAUUCCAAUGAUGUCUGGUAUGGGGUAGGAAAGCAACUUUUCUUAUACAUUAUGACACAAAGUUCAUCAAAUAUGGUUGUUACAGACUUUUGGAGAACACCGAAAUUUUUCUUAGUAAUUUCUACAUUGAAAAACUACUGUUACCUUUAAACAAAACUAUCCAUUGCAAUAAAUCUGAAAUAGUUUUUUAAUAUUGCAAAACAGAAAAUUGAUGGCAUUAUUCACCGAAUGCUAAUAUUUUCCAAUAACACCUCACACCACAAUAUAUGUACCUUAUAUAGUUUAACACCUAUAGGAGUUCUUAACACAAUGGAUAGAUAAUUAAAGUAAAGAGUGAAAUGGGACUCAGAAACAACUUAUUAUAGUAAAAAUUAUUAUUACAUUAUUUCAAAUACUAGUCCACCCUUUUCCUUUUUUUCCCAAAAGUUAAUUUUUUAACCUUUGUUAUGAUAUUUCACUUUAUUUAAAUAAUAUAAUAAAUAGUACUGUGUUUUCAUAUAUACUCUCUGAUGCAUCUCAAAUAUAUUUGCAUACCCCAAGACCUUAGCAGAUUUGUAUACACAUUAUUCACUAGAGAAGCAGUAGUUACUUCUGAAAUCUAUAUUGCUCUUUUCAAAUGAGGUCUUACAGUUUUUUAAAAAUAUCUGAAAUAAUUAUAGUGAACUUAUUUCUAAUUAGCAUAUAGUAAGUGCCUGAUAAAUAUUUGUGAAAAAGAAUGAAGAAAUAAUAAGAGCAUUUAUAUAAUCUGUACAAUAUGGUAUGUGGUAUUUCAUGAGUUUAGCUACAACUUAUUGAAUAUUAUAACAAUCUUACUAUGCGAGUAAGAUGUGGGUUUGAUGAACCAAUAAUAAAUAAAAAUUGUAUGCUGCAUUGUUCCUAAUUCACCAAACAAUGUUUUCAAAAACAGACACUCUGAUGUGUGGUUUUUGUCAACUAUUAUAUUAUGAAUGAAUGAAGCUCAGUAAAUGAAAAAUUGGAACUACAUACUUGCUUAGGGUGCCUAUCAUUCAUUGUUAAAAAACCUUUAGCUAUAUACAAUUUCAAUACUGUAUGUACCAUUGUGAUAUAGUGGAAUUUUGAUAAAAUGUACAUUAAUAAUGCUGAAGUCUUUCAUUGAG
rnacentral:lncRNA from 1 species